rnacentral:rRNA from 1 species
CCUACGGGGGGCUGCAGUGGGGAAUAUUGGACAAUGGGGGCAACCCUGAUCCAGCCAUGCCGCGUGUGUGAAGAAGGCCCUCGGGUUGUAAAGCACUUUCAGUGAGGAAGAACGCCUGGUGGUUAAUACCCAUCAGGAAAGACAUCACUCACAGAAGAAGCACCGGCUAACUCCGUGCCAGCAGCCGCGGUAAUACGGAGGGUGCGAGCGUUAAUCGGAAUUACUGGGCGUAAAGCGCGCGUAGGUGGCUUGAUAAGCCGGUUGUGAAAGCCCCGGGCUCAACCUGGGAACGGCAUCCGGAACUGUCAAGCUAGAGUGCAGGAGAGGAAGGUAGAAUUCCCGGUGCAGCGGUGAAAUGCGUAGAGAUCGGGAGGAAUACCAGUGGCGAAGGCGGCCUUCUGGACUGACACUGACACUGAGGUGCGAAAGCGUGGGUAGCAAACAGGAUUAGAUACCCUGGUAGUC